AGUUUCAAAACAUAAUAGCACAAGUUGAAAAUUCUGAAUUAAUUCAACAUCAUCAGAGGAGGCAAAAGGUUAACAUUAAACCUUUUGAAGGAACAAAGGCAAUUUUGGAAACAAUGCUUCUCAGGAGUUUUAAGAGUUCCUGUAUUUCAGGGAGAGGAGCUGGAAGAUACGAAACCACCAAAGAUCAUUGGAAGAAUUUAAAUAUGUGGUUAUGAAGAUUGUUUUCGUAUUCAAAUUACUUCUGAUCAUUAAAUUGUUCUGCAUGGCUUCAGUUCUUAUAAUCGCAGGAUUAAAGGCUCAUAAAAUGUAAUUUUUAAUGACUAGGGCCAGUUUGAUUGCAAAAUUACACGGCAGUCUUAGACUUACAAUUACUUGUGAGAAAUCUUAGGAUUACUACAGUGUGGAAGCAGGCCAUUCAGCCCAUUGAGUCAACACUGACCCUCUCAAGAGCAUCUCACCCAGACCUGACCCUCUACCCUAUCCCUGUAACCGUACAUUUCCCAUGGCUAAUCCACUUAGCUUGCACACCCUCUGGACACUAUGGACAAGUUAGCAUGGCCAAUCCACCUAAACUCCACAUCUUUGGACUGUGGGAGGAACAGUCCCAAAGUCUGCACGUGGUGUGCUAACUGCAUACAGUUACCUAAGGCUGGAAUCGAAUCCCUGGCACUGUGCGGCAACAGUGCUAACCAUUGAACUACUGUGCUGCUCAACAGUGUUGGGGCAGGGAAGUUUCAAGUUGAGACCCAGAUUUCUGAAGAAGGGUCUCGACCCAAAACGUCAGCUUUCCUGCUCCUCUGACUCUGCUUGGCCUGCCGUGUUCAUCCAGUUUCACACCAUGUUGUCUCAAAUUCUCCAGCAUUGGCAGUUCCUACUAUCUCUGGGACAGGGAAAUGAUGGGUUUUAAUGUCAUGUGUCUUUCUUUUAUCAUGACAAACAUGAUAUCUUUUGGGCAGAAUACACAUCUGAAAACACAUUA